AUUGAACGCUGGCGGCAUGCUUUACACAUGCAAGUCGAACGGUAACAGGCCGCAAGGUGCUGACGAGUGGCGAACGGGUGAGUAAUGCAUCGGAACGUGCCCAGUCGUGGGGGAUAACGCAGCGAAAGCUGUGCUAAUACCGCAUACGAUCUAAGGAUGAAAGCGGGGGACCGUAAGGCCUCGCGCGAUUGGAGCGGCCGAUGUCAGAUUAGCUAGUUGGUGGGGGAAAGGCCCACCAAGGCGACGAUCUGUAGCUGGUCUGAGAGGACGACCAGCCACACUGGGACUGAGACACGGCCCAGACUCCUACGGGAGGCAGCAGUGGGGAAUUUUGGACAAUGGGCGCAAGCCUGAUCCAGCAAUGCCGCGUGCAGGGAGAAGGCCUUCGGGUUGUAAACUGCUUUUGUACGGAACGAAACGGUCUGGGUUAAUACCCUGGGCUAAUGACGGUACCGUAAGAAUAAGCACCGGCUAACUACGUGCCAGCAGCCGCCGUAAAAC
rnacentral:rRNA from 1 species